rnacentral:rRNA from 1 species
UACGAAGGGGGGCUAGCGUUGUUCGGAAUUACUGGGCGUAAAGCGCGUGUAGGCGGCUUCGCAAGUCGGAUGUGAAAUCCCACGGCUCAACCGUGGAAGUGCAUUCGAAACUGCAAGGCUAGAGUUCUGGAGAGGAAGGUGGAAUGCUUGGUGUAGAGGUGAAAUUCGUAGAUAUCAAGCGGAACACCGGUGGCGAAGGCGGCCUUCUGGGACAGUAACUGACGCUGAGACGCGAAAAGCGUGGGGAGCAAACAGG